rnacentral:rRNA from 1 species
UACGUAGGGUGCAAGCGUUACUCGGAAUUACUGGGCGUAAAGCGUGCGCAGGCGGUUUUGUAAGUCUGUCGUGAAAUCCCCGGGCUCAACCUGGGAAUUGCGAUGGAGACUGCAAGGCUAGAAUCUGGCAGAGGGGGGUAGAAUUCCACGUGUAGCAGUGAAAUGCGUAGAGAUGUGGAGGAACACCGAUGGCGAAGGCAGCCCCCUGGGCUAACACUGACGCUCAUGCACGAAAGCGUGGGGAGCAAACAGG